rnacentral:rRNA from 1 species
UACGAAGGGGGCUAGCGUUGCUCGGAAUCACUGGGCGUAAAGCGCACGUAGGCGGCUUUCUAAGUCAGGGGUGAAAUCCUGGAGCUCAACUCCAGAACUGCCUUUGAUACUGAAGAUCUUGAGUUCGGGAGAGGUGAGUGGAACUGCGAGUGUAGAGGUGAAAUUCGUAGAUAUUCGGAAGAACACCAGUGGCGAAGGCGACUUACUGGACGAUUGUUGACGCUGAGGUGCGAAAGCGUGGGGAGCAAACAGGG